GGGCGUGUGGUCUAGGGGUAUGAUUUUCCCUUCGCAUGGGAAAGGUCAGGGGUUCAAUUCCCCUCAUGUCCA
rfam:Trichoderma harzianum strain T6776 Scaffolds0026.1, whole genome shotgun sequence.